GGGGCUGUGACUCAGUGGUAGGGUACUUGCCUUGCAUGUGUGAGGCACUGGGUUUGAUUCUCAGCACCCCA
rnacentral:tRNA from 1 species